AAAGAAUUCAGCGAGUCAGCUGAUCUCACAGAAAACGGUCAACGACGGUGGGGAGGCGCGGCCGGUGGAGAUUUCUUUUUGUUAAAAAUGUUAACUGGAGUGGAUAUUAUUCCUCAACGCUGUAUGAAGGUUCAUGAGAGAUCAAAGUCUAAAUGUAGUACUAAUACGCUGAGGAAGGCGUAGGAUUGGACAUUGGAAUAGUUUGACAUACAUGUAGGUAAUGGAUUGAUACCUACAUUACAACAAUACAAAUCCUGUUUUAAGCAUCGGCUGAGUGUACGCUGGAUCCAUAGGGACUCAUAAAUGUACAUGCUGACCAAAGAAAACAGUUAUCCUAAAAACACCGAAGACACCUCACCAUCACCAUGUCGACAGCGGAAGAGACGCGGGCUGAACGACAGCCUUUUCUUCCCAAGUCCCGGAGUCUGAGUCGGUCAGCAGACUUUCCUGUUGAUGGCCACAGCUACGAGAGCGAUCAACGCGAGGAGGAAAGGAAUGCAAACCUUACCUUAUCAACAGAGUCGCGUCUCCAUACCUCCCACUCAACCACGUAAGUCCUUACAGUGUAGGAAUAAAAGUCAUCAUGGCCCCACCCUCGCCCUGGCACGGACCAUAUGGCAUGUCCCCCUCCACUACAGCAAUCAUGCUUGUUCACUUGCUAUUAAAGGCUACUUCUCUAGUCUUUCUUGAGAGGACUUUAUUAAAUAUUCCUUGAUACAUGUAUAAAACUUGACGUACUAGAGGAUGUAUAGCAAGUGUAGCUAGUAAAACAAAAUUAUACCAUUGGAACUUAAACACAUUAAACACUUUGGCAAAAAAUAUGGCCAGAAUUUUCUUUUAUCCAGCAGGCGGCAGGCCUCCGGUAGGUGUUUCAUAA